rnacentral:rRNA from 1 species
GAUGAACGCUGGCGGCGUGCCUAAUACAUGCAAGUCGAGCGAACAGAUCAGGAGCUUGCUCCUUUGACGUUAGCGGCGGACGGGUGAGUAACACGUGGGUAACCUACCUAUAAGACUGGAAUAACUCCGGGAAACCGGGGCUAAUGCCGGAUAACAUUUAGAACCGCAUGGUUCUAAGGUGAAAGAUGGUUUUGCUAUCACUUAUAGAUGGACCCGCGCCGUAUUAGCUGGUUGGUAAGGUAACGGCUUACCAAGGCAACGAGACGUAGCCGACCUGAGAGGGUGAUAGGCGACACUGGAACUGAAACACGGUCCAGACUCCUACGGGAGGCAGCAGUAGGGAAUCUUACGCAAUGGGCGAAAGUCUGACGGAGCAACGCCGCGCGAGUGAUGAAGGUCCUGGGAUCGUAAAACUCUGUUAUUAGGGAAGAACAAAUGUGUAAGUAACUGUGCACGUCUUGACGGUACUUAAUCAGAAAGCCACGGCUAACUACGUG